CUUUUUUGAAUCAUUUGACAAAGAACUUGCUGCCUGUGACUAGUCACCAAGCUGUUUGGAAAACAGCUGCUGUAUUAAUAGCUGCUGGCUCUGGCAAUAACUCAUGUUGGCUUUUUUAACUUAUGUAGUAUUAAGGAUGAAUUGGUAAAAUUUUUAACAAAAAUUGUGUGUUAAAGUAACUUUUUUAAGACUCAAGAAGUUUUUCAGACCUAGGUGAUAUUUUCUGGGGUAUUGAGGAUGGUAAAAGAACAGAGGCAGGGCAGAGGCAGUCUGCAGUAAGUUGAGAUUUUAAAAGGAGCGAUAGUCAAUCAAUCUGAAAUGUUCAGCAACAGGCGGAUUUUUUUAAAGUGAUUUUGUGUUUAUAAGAUGGAGCACCUAACACAAACCUAGGAUUAAGUUGUAAUGAGUUAUCUUGCCACUCUUAGCCAAGUAAUUUCUCUCUUUGAUUUUGUGUAAAAAGUUGCUCUCCCCCAAAACAAAGGAGUCACGUUGCUUUUACUCACUGAAAAUUGCGUAUGUAUAAAAUAUCAGUGUUGUCUUUAGUCUAAAAUCCCUCACUAUGUAUGACUUGUGCCAUACAUCAGAAUCCAUCUCCUGCAGCCUGGCAACUGUCUCUGUUGCUAUAGCAACAGCUCCACUAUCCUUUCAUGGAGAACCUUAAGUAUUCCCAUUUUCGUAGCUGCUAGAACACCUCCCGUCCUUGCUUGCUUCAUUCACUUGAUCACUCCUGUCCAUGAGAUCUUCUCCUCCCGAUUUAGAGAGUUACUCAGCACUUCUGGACUUAUAAAUGAAAGAGCAUUCGUUAGCUGAAGGAAAUUCAUUCAGGACUUUGAGGUGCACAUUUGACUGGGACGUGAUACUGCUGUUGUGUUUAAUAUACACACACAGAGUGUAAUUAGCAUCCCCUAAUGUGUAUGAAAUUUGUACUUAAUAGAAAACUCAAAAUCCCUGGCUUCUGCAUGCUUAUCUGUGGUUAUAUGCCAAAGUGUGAAAGUUUCUGAGAAACAUCUAACCUCAGGUGUUAAACCCGCAGGUAAUGUAACCUGAGUUAGCUGAGAAGAAUCUUCCUCAUUGUUAAGUUUGUUGUGAGAUUGUGUAUUACGUGGCUGUCACGCCUGUCCUUGAAGAAUUACAGUGACCAGUGUAUUGAACCCUGCCCCAUGUUAGAGAGCGAGCCCAGCAAUCCAUAUCUUUAUGUAGGAGCUGUGGAGUUGGAGAUCACAAGGGUGACUGUAUCUGCCCCUCAUCUGGGCCUCCUUUUCUGCACUGAAUUGGCACAGCUCCAUUGAGCAAAGGUAGGUUGUUCAAUCUGUCUUCUUGCUUCUAGAUGAUCCAGGUAAUUAAAUAGUUGUUCAGGGCUUAUUCUUUCACUUAUGGGAAGAUUUCACAGGAAUAAUAGAAAUUUUAUGUAAGAUGGUCUUAAAAAAACAAGACACUGAUAAGGCUUGAUUUAAAUUAUUUAAAAAGAGCUUUUUUAAAAAAAUUUUAUUUUAUUUAUACAAGUGUCUAAAUAAGACUGGGCUAUGCUUUUUCCUGCUAGAAAUACCUGGGUUGUGUAUUGCAUUGUGUCCUGGGGUUCUCAAUGGGGGAAGGAAGGGUGAGGCCAGGGGGAUCUGGUGUCAAAACCAGAACUCAGUUGAGCGAUAUCCUACACUGCUAAACAGAAAGAGAUGGAGAGGCUAGAGAGGAGCUCUGGUGUGUAAAAGACUGGAAACUGUGGCAUCAGGGGUUUCCUGCACAUCAGGUCCCCCACCAGAGCUUUACCACUGGGAAAACAGCAGCUGAAGAUUUAGGUAAGGAAUAAUAACAAGGAGAACAAAAUAAGAGUGUGAGAAAAGCGAGCAGAAGAGGAGAUUUCUCAGCUGUAAAAUACUCUGUAAGACUCCCAAUCAACAUUGGCUCAGUGCAGCCCAAAAUCCUGAGACACUGGGAAGAGACAGCUCGGAGAUUCCCUUGUCAUUGACUGAGGUUUUUAAUUUAUUCUUUGCAGCCAGACAGUGCUCCCGUUGCCGACUUGCGGGCACAGCAGCCAACUCUCCCCCCCCACCGCCAAUCAAAGGGGCGCUGCCGAAGCGGGGCUGCUCCUGCGAUAAAAGUGUAGGAAGCUCAUGGCUGCAGAGUAAUGCGGACAAAGCACAAGUGAGAGGGAGACAAAAGGGACGUGGAGUCCCAGAAGAUGUGAUCCACUCUGUUAAAGGAACUGUCGGUAGCCUCUGCAGCUGUGUUUAUGCUGCUUCAUGCAAUAGGCACCAGCCUCUCAUCCUCCCGGGAGAUUUUUACAGCAUUAAUUCACUCUGCACAAAACCCAGCCUGCAAGGCUCCUCUUCAGCAGUGCCCUCUUCAUCCCUCCAGCUCCCCUUGUUCCCGAGAGCCCUGUCUGCAGGAGCUGCACCCCUCCAGCUGACCUCUCAUUGCUCUCAUUCAAAUGUCACCUGUACCCAAUGAAGCAGACACCGAAGUGCCACGAAUGGAUCCCAGGAUUCUUAUUUUCCUUCUCUACAUGAUGAUCCUUCACGAGCUGGUGAGUGGCUGGAUGGAGUACCAGAAGCAGAUAGCCAAGCCGAAGAAGCAGGCGGGUCCAGUUUGGUCUUCUAGCAACACCACCAGAUCAAACCACUCCAGCUUCUCCAGGCCUCUGGUCCAUUCUGUGCGCAGGGAGAGGUACAGGGACUGGAGGAAACCAGGGCGGAUCAUCCGGAAAGCGUGAGGAUGCAUCUGCUGAGGAGUGUGGGGAGAGAUUACUGAGCCAGAGGCAGCUGUCCCCCACAAGGUCUGUGCCGACUUACCACCUCUCAGCAGUGUGAGGGCAUCCUCCAGGCACCAUGAUCUGCAACCUGCAGCUCUCUCUGUUGCACCGAGCCUGGCAUGACUGAGAAGGAACGAGCUCCUUCCUUCUGGGAACUGCCCCCUGUGUGGUGAGGAGCCGAGGUGGUGGAGACACCUCAGCCAGCAACGGAAUCGCCAAAGGUGGGACGAGGCUUUUUCCACCCAACACAGUGAAGUGACUUUUCUUUCUUCUUCCUAAAGGGUCUAGUAGAUGGAGAGCAGGUUUCUUGGGGGAAGAACGAAAUUUGCUCCUGCAUGGGCAACCCUGGGAAGCCUCCAAGUGGUUUCAGUCUCCUCUCAUUCCACCCCAGGACUGUGUGACCAGCAAGCAGCAUUUCCUAAAGUGACUGGAAAGUCUUUGGCAUCCAGUUUGUCACCAUUCCAGGAGAACUUGCCUCCACCAGGGCACCCAGAAGUCAUGAGACUUUGGAAAUGUUGGCUCUGGGUUAAGUCUCAUACACUGGGAGUCUGUAAAUAUUGUUCAGCUUUUCUUCACCCUUAAUAAAUGAGUUACUCCAGGGUGGAAGGGGAAGGGAACCAGUGACUCAGAAUUAUGCCUCCAAAUGCAAUUUACUGCAAUGACCCUGUAAUUAGAUUUCUUUGGAGCAUUCCCAGCAGUUGAGCCAAAUGUAAGAGUGACUUUCUAAUGAGCAGAUAGAUGGGGAAGGAAUACAAUAUUGCUCUUUUACUAGAGUCUGCAGUUUAGGCUUAAAAUUAGAUUUUUUUAGAGGCAAAAGUCAGUUGUCACAUUCUGCCACCCCACGUAGCAGUUGUAUGCAGGAUGGGAGUCGCUGAGCGCUGGAGGGAUUCUGACACUGAGCUCCUAACAACAAAUGUCCAUGGCCAAACUGCCUGCCUUAUUUGCUGAACAUAAUGUUUGGCUCAAACGCAGCCUGUUUUUCUCAUUGCCAACCAUUUAUAAACCUGACUCAGGCUCACAGAUGCAUUAUCCAGAAGUAGAUAGGGAAGGGAGUCGGAAUAGAUUAUGCAUUCAUUAUCCAGAAGUAACCACCAGAUACAUUUGCACAUUUGUCUGCUGCUCAGUUGUUUGCAAAAUGUUCCUGUCAGUUGACACUGUGUUUGUUCAGUCACCCACAGCAGCAGUCACCUGGCCCAAGGUAGAGCUCUGCACCUGAGCUGGGCAUCCAGAUCCCUGUGCGGCACAGAGGGGCACGUGGGGGGAAGUGAUUCAUCUCCUCUGAAGUUAAACGUCAGAAGAAAGCUGACUGAACCGUGCACUUGGAGUGCCUGAUCCUCCACCCUAGGCAGGCUGGAUAAGUAACUUGGAUGUAGACCUCUACUGUUAGGUGAGAUGACAUUUUUUUGCCUUGGGAGAUGAAGUUCACACCUUGUGUUCAGAUAUUUUUGUAAAAGGAGAUAAAAGUUACCACUUUCUGCACAUUUCAGAGUAUAAACUGCAAAGAUGUGCCUCAGCUCUGUGACACUGUGGCUAUUUCCCAAGGUGCCCACUGCCUAUCCCAACACUUGCAGAUACAUCCAUGAGAAACAAGAGCUACAAAUGGAGAAGG